CAGCCGCCGCGGGAAUACAGAGGGUGCGAGCGUUAAUCGGAAUUACUGGGCGUAAAGCGCACGUAGGCGGAUAUUUAAGUCAGGGGUGAAAUCCCGCAGCUCAACUGCGGAACUGCCUUUGAUACUGGGUAUCUUGAGUAUGGAAGAGGUUAGUGGAAUUGCGAGUGUAGAGGUGAAAUUCGUAGAUAUUCGCAGGAACACCAGUGGCGAAGGCGGCUAACUGGUCCAUAACUGACGCUGAGGUGCGAAAGCGUGGGGAGCAAACAGGAUUAGAUACCCCGGUAGUCCCUGUCUCUUAUAC
rnacentral:rRNA from 1 species